rnacentral:rRNA from 1 species
GACGAACGCUGGCGGCGUGCCUAAUACAUGCAAGUUGAGCGCUGAAGGUUGGUACUUGUACCAACUGGAUGAGCAGCGAACGGGUGAGUAACGCGUGGGGAAUCUGCCUUUGAGCGGGGGACAACAUUUGGAAACGAAUGCUAAUACCGCAUAAAAACUUUAAACACAAGUUUUAAGUUUGAAAGAUGCAAUUGCAUCACUCAAAGAUGAUCCCGCGUUGUAUUAGCUAGUUGGUGAGGUAAGGCUCACCAAGGCGAUGAUACAUAGCCGACCUGAGAGGGUGAUCGGCCACAUUGGGACUGAGACACGGCCCAAACUCCUACGGGAGGCAGCAGUAGGGAAUCUUCGGCAAUGGACGAAAGUCUGACCGAGCAACGCCGCGGGAGUGAAGAAGGUUGUCGGAUCGUGAAACUCUGUUGGUAGAGAAGAACGUUGGUGAGAGUGGAAAGCUCAUCAAGUGACGGUAACUACCCAGAAAGGGACGGCUAACUACGUG